rnacentral:rRNA from 1 species
UACGUAGGGUCCGAGCGUUGUCCGGAAUUACUGGGCGUAAAGAGCUCGUAGGUGGUUUGUCGCGUUGUUCGUGAAAACUCACAGCUCAACUGUGGGCGUGCGGGCGAUACGGGCAGACUGGAGUACUGCAGGGGAGACUGGAAUUCCUGGUGUAGCGGUGGAAUGCGCAGAUAUCAGGAGGAACACCGGUGGCGAAGGUGGGUCUCUGGGCAGUAACUGACGCUGAGGAGCGAAAGCGUGGGGAGCGAACAGG